UAUAACGGUCCUAAGGUAGCGAAAUUCCUUGUCGGGUAAGUUCCGACCUGCACGAAUGGCGUAAUGAUGGCCAGGCUGUCUCCACCCGAGACUCAGUGAAAUUGAACUCGCUGUGAAGAUGCAGUGUACCCGCGGCAAGACGGAAAGACCCCGUGAACCUUUACUAUAGCUUGACACUGAACACUGGUCCUUGAUGUGUAGGAUAGGUGGGAGGCUUUGAAGCGUGGACGCCAGUCUGCGUGGAGCCAACCUUGAAAUACCACCCUUUAAUGGCUGGUGUUCUAACGUAGACCCGUAAUCCGGGUUGCGGACAGUGUCUGGUGGGUAGUUUGACUGGGGCGGUCUCCUCCCAAAGAGUAACGGAGGAGCACGAAGGUUGGCUAAUCCUGGUCGGACAUCAGGAGGUUAGUGCAAUGGCAUAAGCCAGCUUGACUGCGAGCGUGACGGCGCGAGCAGGUGCGAAAGCAGGUCAUAGUGAUCCGGUGGUUCUGAAUGGAAGGGCCAUCGCUCAACGGAUAAAAGGUACUCCGGGGAUAACAGGCUGAUACCGCCCAAGAGUUCAUAUCGACGGCGGUGUUUGGCACCUCGAUGUCGGCUCAUCACAUCCUGGGGCUGAAGUAGGUCCCAAGGGUAUGGCUGUUCGCCAUUUAAAGUGGUACGCGAGCUGGGUUUAGAACGUCGUGAGACAGUUCGGUCCCUAUCUGCCGUGGGCGCUGGAGAAUUGAGGGGGGCUGCUCCUAGUACGAGAGGACCGGAGUGGACGCAUCACUGGUGUUCGGGUUGUCAUGCCAAUGGCACUGCCCGGUAGCUAAAUGCGGAAGAGAUAAGUGCUGAAAGCAUCUAAGCACGAAACUUGCCCCGAGAUGAGUUCUCCCUGAGACUUUAAGUCUCCUGAAGGAACGUUGAAGACGACGACGUUGAUAGGUCGGGUGUGUAAGCGCAGCGAUGCGUUGAGCUAACCGAUACUAAUGAACCGUGAGGCUUAACCUU
rnacentral:rRNA from 1 species